GCACUACUGAGGAGUCUCACAAUAGAACGAAACGGUCGUCCAGUAC
rnacentral:hammerhead_ribozyme from 1 species